rnacentral:rRNA from 1 species
AGUGAACGCUGGCGGUAGGCCUAACACAUGCAAGUCGAACGGCAGCACAGUAAGAGCUUGCUCUUACGGGUGGCGAGUGGCGGACGGGUGAGGAAUACAUCGGAAUCUACUUUUUCGUGGGGGAUAACGUAGGGAAACUUACGCUAAUACCGCAUACGACCUACGGGUGAAAGCAGUGGAUCUUCGGACCUUGCGCGAUUGAAUGAGCCGAUGUCGGAUUAGCUAGUUGGCGGGGUAAAGGCCCACCAAGGCGACGAUCCGUAGCUGGUCUGAGAGGAUGAUCGGCCACACUGGAACUGAGACACGGUCCAGACUCCUACGGGAGGCAGCAGUGGGGAAUAUUGGACAAUGGGCGCAAGCCUGAUCCAGCCAGACCGCGUGGGUGAAGAAGGCCUGCGGGUUGUAAAGCCCUUUUGUUGGGAAAGAAAAGAAGCAGGUUAAUACCCCGCUGUUCUGACGGUACCCAAAGAAUAAGCACCGGCUAACUUCGUG